rnacentral:rRNA from 1 species
GAUGAACGCUAGCUACAGGCUUAACACAUGCAAGUCGAGGGGUAACGAGAGGAAAGCUUGCUUUCCUUGUCGACGACCGGCGCACGGGUGAGUAACGCGUAUCCAACCUGCCCCCAACUAAGGAAUAACCUUGCGAAAGUAAGACUAAUACCUUAUAAUUUCCUCAGAUGUCAUCUGACGAGGAAUAAAGAUUUAUCGGUUGUGGAUGGGGAUGCGUCUGAUUAGCUUGUUGGCGGGGUAACGUCCCACCAAGGCAACGAUCAGUAGGGGUGCCGAGAGGAAAGUGCCCCACAGUGGAACUGAUACACGGUCCAAACUCCGACGGGAGGCAGCAGUGAGGAAUAUUGGUCAAUGGGCGGAAGCCUGAACCAGCCAAGUAGCGUGCAGGAUGACGGCCCUAUGGGUUGUAAACUGCUUUUAUACAGGAAUAAAGUUAGCCACGUGUGGUUAUUUGUAGGUACUGUAUGAAUAAGGACCGGCUAAUUCCGUGCCAGCCGCCGCAGUAA